GAGAGAAGAGAGAAGAGGAGCUCGCCCCCUUGUGAAAUCUCCAGUGCAACUUCGCCUCUUCUCCUUCUUCUCCUUCUUCUUCUUCAUCUCUUCUAACCUCUUUCUUCUUCUUCUAUUCUAACCUCUUCUCCUUAUUCCUCAUUUAUUGUAAUCACAGAGCAGGUAUUGGGACUAAUUUUAGGGGUUUUUUGGACCACCUAUGACUGACUCCAGAUUCCAGAAAUAGAGAUUGAUAAGCUUCAAUGUUUUGAGGAGAGAUUUGUUCGUAACCCUCAAAUAUUCCCCUAAAAGGUCUUCAUCAUCGUAUAGCUCAUAGAGAGAGAGCAGUUAAUUCAUCCUCAGUGCCCUGUGAAACCCUAAAAGGAAAGAGAGAGAGAGAGAGAGAGACUAUUUGGCACACAGAGCAUGGUUCGUUGAUUUUUUUUUUUGGCACGCAGAGCAGAGACACUCCUACUACCCAAUUCAUUGGCUUCUUCACCUGAGAAUCAGCUUCAGCGACGACGGUGGGGUAUGGAGAUUAUGCAUUCAUGUGAUUUGAAGGGUAGGUGUUUUGCUAUCAUUUGGCUCUUGGUAAGUACAUUGGCUAUUGCAAGGGCUUUCCUCUACUUAACUAAGUUAAGGAUUGACAAGAGAAAUCGAAAGAUCAUGAAAUGGGUUCUUCAGAAGAAGAUGACUCUAGGUGAUCUAGUGGCUAUUGACCUCGAUAAUGAUGGUUCUGUAAGGCGUUCGCUAUGCAUUGGACUAUCAUUGAAGUUUGGUUCUCCUCAAAGGAUCUUCUUCAACCUAUUCCCAUAGUGUCCCACUCGCCAUGGCCGUACUAUAGUUUUGAGGUGUUUUGGGAUAUCUAUGCCCAGUAUGGGCACGUGUAAAUAUAGGGACUCUAAUCACACUAUGAGACACUUGCAGCAUAUGUACUUCUCUAGGUCCUUGGCUUGGGGAGAUGAUGUUUAAUUAAUAGAUUCUCUUUUCUUCAUAAAAAAAAAAUAAUAAUAAUAAGAAAAUAAUUUGAGGCAUUUUUUUUC